rnacentral:rRNA from 1 species
GAUGAACGCUGGCGGCGUGCCUAAUACAUGCAAGUCGAGCGAACGGACGAGAAGCUUGCUUCUCUGAUGUUAGCGGCGGACGGGUGAGUAACACGUGGAUAACCUACCUAUAAGACUGGGAUAACUUCGGGAAACCGGAGCUAAUACCGGAUGAUAUUUUGAACCGCAUGGUUCAAAAGUGAAAGACGGUCUUGCUGUCACUUAUAGAUGGAUCCGCGCUGCAUUAGCUAGUUGGUAAGGUAACGGCUUACCAAGGCAACGAUGCAUAGCCGACCUGAGAGGGUGAUCGGCCACACUGGAACUGAGACACGGUCCAGACUCCUACGGGAGGCAGCAGUAGGGAAUCUUCCACAAUGGGCGAAAGCCUGACGGAGCAACGCCGCGUGAGUGAUGAAGGUCUUCGGAUCGUAAAACUCUGUUAUUAGGGAGGAACAUAUGUGUAAGUAACUGUGCACAUCUCGACGGUACCUAAUCAGAAAGCCACGGAUAACUACGUG